AAGGUGGACUAAAGUUAUACCCGGGGUAUAAAACGCGUCAUUUGACGUCAUUUUAAUCCAUGGACUAAAGUUAGCACCUAGGGGCUAACUUUUGCGAUUCACAAAGGUCGACUAAAGUUAUACCGGGGUAUAAAACGCGUCAUUUGACGUCACGACUUAGUCAGCUCUUUGGGGUGGACUAAAUCGGUGGGUUAAAGUUAGUCCACUGUUUUAACCAAUCAGAGAGCAGCAUUUCGAUUGCGGAAAAGUUUGCUACAAGAAAAAAGUUUUUUGGACAGAGACGAGAUUCGGUGUGAUCGGCAUAUCUAAAGCUUCAUAUUUCACGACUUCGACCGAGAUUCAACAGACCAUACAUACUCGGCAGAUUGUGCUCAAUCAAGACAAAGCAAACAUGGCUCACAGUUUUGAACUGCUGUGCCGUCUUGCAAGAGAGUGAGAUUCAGCAACACAUAGAAAGACCACAGCAUGGAUUAAGAGACAGGAAGAAUCCAUUUGAAUACUACGAGGAUGAACCUCUCAGAGUGGGGUACCAACAGAGAGAACCACACAUUGCCUGUCAUGUUACAGGUUUUGACAGGACUUUGUUUUAUGUCAUUGGUACCUUUUAGAAGAUGCAAGCAGACGAAGCAACUAUAUCACAGUCAUCCGUGUGCAGAAUCAUCAAAGAUUUUUCUGAGGCAAUAGCAAGGAGUAACAGUCAAUGAAGUUUCCGAUGACGAGAAAUUCAAACCACCCAGCGACAAUUUGAUGAUUGCUACAGGUUUCCAAGAGUCAUAGGUGCUAUCGAUUGGGGCCAAUCCACGCCAUGUCUGCAUCAGGAGUCCUGAUGGGGAACAAGCCCUGUACUUAGCAGGAAGAACAGGUCUUCUGUAAAUGUAUAGGUAUCCGUUGCUCCCCUCUUUGAUGAAUUCCUGCCUGCAUUCUGUUGUCAAUAGAAAAGGACGGUGUGCUACGGGUAUAAGCAUUCCAUUGGAUUAUCUGUGCAUGAAAGUGGACACUUGUGAUAAAAAAUGGUAGCUUGGUUGUAGUGGCGUACCUAGGAUUUUCCACAGGGAGGGCAAAACCGUUCGGCCGAAAAAUUUUACAAGUAAAAAAAAAAAAGGUCUUCAAUCACAAAUAAAGGAUUUCGUACCAGAAAAAAAUUGACAAGCAAAAAAAAAAGGUGUUCAAGCUCGUCAGGGGGGCAGGUAUACGUCCUUUGCAUGGGUUGUGGCUCGUCAGGGGGGGGGGCAGAGUGCCCCCCACCCCCGUAGGUACGCUAGUGCUUGGUUGAUAGGAUGUAUUCAUGCAUUCCGAUUUAUCAUUAGUGAUCAAAUGACCAUCUUGCUUUUUAAAAACCCAAGUUCACAACAUUUUUCUUGUUUGAUAAAAGGUUUGGGACGUGAAUUCCAGGAUAUAAAUGACACAUAUGAUGGGCUAAUGUAUAAGCAGGGACAUGAGAGGUAU